UACGUAGGGGGCAAGCGUUGUCCGGAAUCAUUGGGCGUAAAGAGCGUGUAGGUGGCUCGGUAAGUCCGCUGUGAAAGUCCAGGGCUCAACCCUGGAAAGCCGGUGGAAACUGUCGAGCUCGAGUCCGGAAGAGGCGAGUGGAAUUCCUGGUGUAGCGGUGAAAUGCGUAGAGAUCGGAAAGAACACCAACGGCGAAAGCACUCUGCUGGGCCGACACUGACACUGAGAGACGAAAGCUAGGGGAGCGAAUGGG
rnacentral:rRNA from 1 species